AUUGAACGCUGGCGGCAGGCUUAACACAUGCAAGUCGAGCGGUAACAGGGGAGCUUGCUCCUGCUGACGAGCGGCGGACGGGUGAGUAACGCGUAGGAAUCUGCCUAGUAGAGGGGGACAACAUGUGGAAACGCAUGCUAAUACCGCAUACGCCCUGAGGGGGAAAGGAGGGGACUCUUCGGAGCCUUCCGCUAUUAGAUGAGCCUGCGUGAGAUUAGCUAGUUGGUAGGGUAAAGGCCUACCAAGGCGACGGUCUCUAACUGGUCUGAGAGGAUGACCAGUCACACUGGGACUGAGACACGGCCCAG
rnacentral:rRNA from 1 species